rnacentral:lncRNA from 1 species
AAGAAAUGUGACCGUUGACUCUAGUGCCUGGAAGGAACUGUGCCAUUUGUAUAGAGGAAGGUGCUGUGCAUUAGGGUUGGGAGUUCUGAUGAAGGAUCUACUACAGGAGCUGUCCAGUUACAACGGAGAGGAGGAGGACCCAGAGGAUGUGAAGAAAUCCUCAGGAGUUAUACAAAGGGACACUCUGAUGCUUGCUUCACAGAAUUGGAAGACUCCACCAUUACAGGCGGCCACCAGCAGAUGUCAGCAAGUCCUUCCUCUGCACCUGCAGAAGAAGCAACAGAAAAGACAAAAGUGGAAGCGGAAGUGUGAGGGGAAGUGGAAGCAGGCAGAAUGAUGAGGGAAGCACAGACAUGCCCAUGUUCUUCAUGGCUACACUCACAUUCUUGUU